rnacentral:rRNA from 1 species
ACCUAAAAUUUUUCCGAGGUAUGUCAGCAUUCGGGGGACGAUACGGCGUCGAGCGGCGGACGGGUGAGUAAUGCCUAGGAAAUUGCCCUGAUGUGGGGGAUAACCAUUGGAAACGAUGGCUAAUACCGCAUAAUGCCUACGGGCCAAAGAGGGGGACCUUCGGGCCUCUCGCGUCAGGAUAUGCCUAGGUGGGAUUAGCUAGUUGGUGAGGUAAUGGCUCACCAAGGCGACGAUCCCUAGCUGGUCUGAGAGGAUGAUCAGCCACACUGGAACUGAGACACGGUCCAGACUCCUACGGGAGGCAGCAGUGGGGAAUAUUGCACAAUGGGCGCAAGCCUGAUGCAGCCAUGCCGCGUGUGUGAAGAAGGCCUUCGGGUUGUAAAGCACUUUCAGUCGUGAGGAAGGUGGUGUAGUUAAUAGCUGCAUUACUUGACGUUAGCGACAGAAGAAGCACCGGCUAACUCCGUGCCAGCAGCCGCGGUAAUACGGAGGGUGCGAGCGUUAAUCGGAAUUACUGGGCGUAAAGCGCAUGCAGGUGGUUUGUUAAGUCAGAUGUGAAAGCCCGGGGCUCAACCUCGGAAUAGCAUUUGAAACUGGCAGACUAGAGUACUGUAGAGGGGGGUAGAAUUUCAGGUGUAGCGGUGAAAUGCGUAGAGAUCUGAAGGAAUACCGGUGGCGAAGGCGGCCCCCUGGACAGAUACUGACACUCAGAUGCGAAAGCGUGGGGAGCAAACAGGAUUAGAUACCCUGGUAGUCCACGCCGUAAACGAUGUCUACUUGGAGGUUGUGGCCUUGAGCCGUGGCUUUCGGAGCUAACGCGUUAAGUAGACCGCCUGGGGAGUACGGUCGCAAGAUUAAAACUCAAAUGAAUUGACGGGGGCCCGCACAAGCGGUGGAGCAUGUGGGUUUAAUUCGAUGCAACGCGAAGAACCUUACCUACUCUUGACAUCCAGAGACUUUCCAGAGAUGGAUUGGUGCUUUCGGGAACUCUGAGACAGGUGCUGCAUGGCUGUCGUCAGCUCGUGUGUGAAAUGUUGGGUAGUCCCGCACGAGCGCAACCCUUAUCUGUUGCAGCGAGUAUGUCGGAUCCAGAGACUGCGUGAUAAACGAGAAGUGGGACGACGUCAGUCAUCAUGCCUACGAGUAGGCUACAACGUGCUACAUUGGCCAUACGAGGCACAGCUACGAUUGGAGCGAAUCCAAAGUGGCGCCUGUCGUAUUCCGGGAAUGA